GACGAACCGUCCUAACGUUGUUCGGAAUCACUGGGCUUAAAGGGCGCGUAGGCGGCCUGAUAAGUAGGGGGUGAAAUCCUGCGGCUUAACCGCAGGGCUGCCUUCUAAACUGUCAGGCUCGAGCACAGUAGAGGCAGGUGGAAUUCCCGGUGUAGCGGUGGAAUGCGUAGAGAUCGGGAAGAACAUCAGUGGCGAAGGCGGCCUGCUGGGCUGUGCUGACGCUGAGGCGCGACAGCGUGGGGAGCAAACAGG
rnacentral:rRNA from 1 species